UGAGUAUCAUAGUAUUAUUCAAUUGGGACUGGGAAGCAACGCCAAUUACCCAAUAUGAAUCGCACGAAGAAUCAGUAAGCCUUAAAUGUCGUAGGUCCUGGGCUACGCUUGCGAGGCCCUCCAAGAAACAUUAACCAAUAUUGGGCUAAAAUGUCAAAUCUUAAAUCAAUAAAGCCUUAAACUUGUAGUUGGGUAGGGGCCGCGCGAACGCAGGCCCCCACUGCCACAAAUUAUGACGUAGGCUCUCCCUCAGUGGGGAGACCUUAGGGCAGCACCCCUCCGGUGUGCAAUGGAGGUCACUGACCUAGGCCAUGGGCCUUCUAGAUCACCCAUUGACCCCGUCCAGGUAAGUAUGGAUCAAGGAGCUAGUCUUUCUUAUUUUAUAAUCGCUUUUCUCCCAUCUCUUUCUCUAUUUUCGAUGUGGGACUAAACAAACACUCCCCUGCAACUCCAGAUAUCAGCGGUUCACUCUUGUACCUUCCUUCCCCAAUCGGCAUUUCAUCUCCUCUCUUAGAAACUUCUUCGUGAGAAUUCUUUUCCGCUAUUUGGUACUUCUUUCUUCUUCUUCUCCGGGUUCGGAAUUAGCGGUUAUUGUUGUUCUGAUUCGGUAGGUUUUUGUGUAGAAGCUUAGAGGUGUAAGGGGUUAUUCAGCAGUUAGUCGUGGAGGGCUGCGCGGCUUGAGGGAGUUAAGGAUGUUAUAGCUGUGGCUUCUGGUAAAGAUGGCGUUGCCAAGUCCACCAAUGCAGGUCAUUGCCUCCUAUUCUUCUUAUUGAUGAACUUUUUCUAUCAAUUUAGUUCAAAUUGUUAGAGAUUUCGAUUGAACUCGUUUCCCGUGUUUACAAUUUUGUGUUAAUUUCGCGUUUAAUAAGUGGAAGGACGACAAUGGCUUAUGAUUUGUGGCUUAGAGUGUUUUUUUUUUUGUUCUAGGAACAUAAACCAUGAGCAGUGAAGUUCAUGAAACAUGUUAGAGUAGGGUUUUCUCUUUUCUUGGUGGUGAUUAACGUGGAAACCAGAGAAAUUCAGGCAUCCACAAGAUAAUUAGGUGGUAAUUCUCGUAUGCAUUAUUUGAGUAAGUCAGAUUCCUUGAACCGUGUUGUUCGUUUGAGUUCUAAAGUUUUUCAAUGGGUAAACACGCAUAUGUGGACUGCAAAGUGGUUGACUUAAGAAGUAUGAUAUGCUGUGAGCCGAUUUAGAUAGGAUUUCAUGCAAAAUAACUCAAGGUGAUGAGCGAGUGAAUUGACAGCCAAUUUGGGGAAUAUAGUAGAUAGACGACUAAUAAAAUCACGCACCAUUGUUCCAUGGACCAUCUAUUCCUACCAUCAUGAUGAAAAUAUAUAGAAAGCCAGAUGUAGAUGGAGGUAAGAGCUCAAUAGUUAACGGCUCUGUGCGGUCAUCAUGUGAUUUUGCUAGAUGUUGUAGUCUUGUAGAUAGUUACCGUUUAAUUCUUUGCAGUGUAGAGAUGGGUUUGAAACUUGUUGGUGAGGUAUGUUGAUUAUUUUUAUUAAAAAAAAAGGUUUGCUGCUGGUCAUGCUAACGCUCAGAAGAAAUUUCAGUGAGUGAUUCAUUUGAUUUACUAGUUUCAGUGCAGUUAGAUUUGUGCUCUUCACUUUAUGUGUGGUUUAUUAGACAUGGCUGGUGUUUGGGAAGGGCCAAGGGGAAAGGGUGUUUGAUGCUAAAUUCAAUGGUUUCAUUUCUUUUCUUCUUAUUAAUUAAGUGCUGGAGCAGUGCAAGGUCUCAGAUAUUAAAUAAUAGAGUGGGAAGUGGGAAUGUAAAACCAUGAUAUUUGACUGUAUAAGUUCUUGAUGUUAUUGUUAUACUUGCGACUGAAAUAUGGUUGACCUCGGCAUCGCUUUGCCCAUCUAUAAAACCUUUGCUUUACUGUAUCAAUUUGAAUCCUCUGCAUCCUCAGUGUAAUAUACACAAAUAAACUAUGGCCAAAUGAUUAGCGCGUGAUCUCAGCAGGAACAUAUCUCAUACAUUUGGCCAGAUUCAUUUCAAAUUUUGGGACAGGUAACCUUGAAAGAUGAAGAGAAUGAUUGACCUGGAUAUCUUGGAUGAUGUCAGGCACACAAAUAUUGGCUACUUACUGAUUGCUGGGUGAUUUUUCAGUCCGGCCUGUCUGAUAUACCCAUAGAAGUGGCUCAAAAAGUUGUCAUCCGACUUGAGGAAUUGGGGAAGGAAAAACAGAAUGAUCCAGAGAUUAUACUGUGAACUUAUGCCAUAGUGAGAGUGAAGUUAGCAUUGGCAUCAUCUAACACCCAUAGCCAUUUGACAAUUAGAUAAGGGACCACACAGUAUGGGCCGCUCACUGCUUGAGUUAUCAUCCGCAGUAGUAGCAGCGCUUGUUGCUGCUUUUGUUACUUCUAGUGUAGAUAUUUAUAUUUGUUUGAGAGCACAUUUUAAGUUAGGAGUAUGGAUAAACCUGGACUGGUUGCACCAAAUGCGUCCCAAGAGCAGGGCACUUGUGAGGCAGUGAUGUAGAUUGUCAUCAUUUAACAGUUAUCCAGAAAGAUCCAGGCACAAUUUGCCCAUUUGUCUGAAUAAGGAUCUAUGCUGUCAAUUAGCAGCAUUUGUCUGC